ensembl:lncRNA GS1-279B7.1 microtubule associated protein 1 light chain 3 beta pseudogene
GACAUGUACCAAGAAAUAUCUUCAGGUGUGGAGAUAAGGGACGGUUUAUCUAUUCCCUCUUUUCCUUUCAUUCUUUGGAAUGGAAUGACUCUUCUAAAGAACACGCUGUAGGAAGUCUGAAUAUAUCCAACCUCUUGCCUCAACCAGAAACGAAACUUACAAUGUGAAAGACGAUGACCACCCUUUAUAAAACAUCCUCAGCCCUUGUCCAGCCUUGCGUGGCAUGAGAUUGGAGAAGACCUUCAAGCAGUGUCACUCCUUCGAACAAAGAGUGGGGGUCCCACUUAUCUGACAGCAGCAUCCUACCAAAAUCCCAGUGACAAAAGAAUGACACAGGCGUGAAAAGCAGCUUCCUGUCCUGGAAAAACCAAGUAAUUUUGUACCUGAUCAGGUCAACAUGAGUAAACUCGUCAAGAUAAUUAGAAGGCCCUUAAAGCUCGAUAGUAAUCAAGCCCUCUUCCUAGUGGUGAGCAGAGACAGCUUGGGAAAAGCAACAUAACUGUACAUGAACCCUCAACUGAUCAUUAAAGGGAUUCCCAUCACCUACUCUCCUCGCUGCAGGUGUCUGUCCACAUGUCUCACUUUUGAAAUGGACUAUACUUUUACAUU